rnacentral:rRNA from 1 species
GACGAACGCUGGCGGCGUGCUUAACACAUGCAAGUCGAACGGAAAGGCCCUGCUUUUGUGGGGUGCUCGAGUGGCGAACGGGUGCGUAACACGUGAGUAACCUGCCCUUGACUUUGGGAUAACUUCAGGAAACUGGGGCUAAUAACGGAUAGGAGCUCCUGCUGCAUGGUGGGGGUUGGAAAGUUUCGGCGGUUGGGGAUGGACUCGCGGCUUAUCAGCUUGUUGGUGGGGUAGCGGCUUACCAAGGCUUUGACGGGUAGCCGGCCUGAGAGGGUGACCGGCCACAUUGGGACUGAGAUACGGCCCAGACGCCUACGGGAGGCAGCAGUGGGGAAUAGUGCACAAUGGGCGGAAGCCGUAUGCAGCAACGCCGCGUGCGGGAUGACGGCCUUCGGGUUGUAAACCGCUUUCGCCUGUGACGAAGCGUGAGUGACGGUAAUGGGUAAAGAAGCACCGGCUAACUACGUG